ACUCUAAAAUGCGUGAAAUGUAUCACUGUGAUUCAGCGAAAAGGAGAUAAGGAGUAUGCAAGUGGAAUGGCAGAUUGGUUGAUACGAGAUAGCCAAAUGUCUUAAAGGAGAUGAGACUUUGUUAGGAAAUUUUGGACUUUUUAAAUAUGCAAACUCAAAAAAUAUGAUGCACAUGUUGUAAAAAGGUCACUUUUCUUUGAAUUAAAUUUUAACAUUCAAUUCAAAAAAAAACAUUUAAUUCUGGUCAAAUUAGUGAGGAAAAUCAUCUUAACGUGCUAAAGACAGUUUAGUAUACAGCGUUUGUUUAUUUUUACAUAGAUUAAAUUUCUUUAUCCAAGAGUCACGAUUCUGUGAGUCAUCGUGGUAAGUGAAUAAUGGUCCCAAUGAUCUACCGUAGUUAAUGUAUAUGAUGUCCUGAUUCGUUUUACUUAUGAUCACUGAUGUCUAUGGUUAUUGUAGGAUGAAAGGUUGCUACAGUUUACGCAUUGAUUAAACGAGUCGCUUGCUUGUAAAGCAUCAUUCAAUAUGAUUGGUAUACAUCUCACUCAACGAUGGAACCCACAUAACUCACUCACCACACAAAACUUCAACUAUACACUCAUCUCUCAUCUUCUCCAAAACAAGAGUUCCAUUGUUUUUUUUUUGUUUUGUUCUUUUUCAGUUCCAAUGAUCUGUUUUAUUUUGUUUGUUAUCUCUAUUCUUAUUUCCGCCUCCACCAACGGAGGAUAAGGAGAAACGGCUGCACGCAAGCCCACCGAUGUCUUCCUCAUCAAUUGCUGCGCUACCUCCAACACCACUGGCCGAGCCUGGACGCGGGACUAGCAGAAGGAUCAUGGGUUGAGUUAAGUCUCCACACACUCUCGCCUUCAUUAACGGCUUGGAGAUUGUUUCUAUGCCUAACCGGCUUUACACAAACGGAGGAUUUGAUGACCACAUAAUAGAUGUUGGUAGCAACAGUGACUCGAGAUAGACGAUACCACGGCACUCGAGACCGUUUACGGCGUCAAGGUCGCUGGAGAUGGGGUACCUGAGAUAACCGACCUUGGAAUGUUCCUACAUUGGCCUUCCGAUUCUGAAGCCAUACAAAAAAAAUAGAAUUUGUUGGUAACGGAAUGAUUGUGGACGCUGGAUUCAACUACCUUUUUAGGCUUCAUUUCUGUGACAGUACAGCGAAGGCAGCAGCCUUGCCGAGGUUCUCAAUCUACAUCGGUAACAAGACGACGUUAGAAACCUGAGCGGUGGCCCGAUGCUUCCGAUGUAUCUAGACUUCAAAACAUUUUUACCCCGCAAAAGUGGAAAGAGACCUAAUCUACGACUUGACUUGCAUCCUCAAAACAAGGAAAAUCUACAGUAUUUCGAGGUUGUUCUGAGAGUGGUAUAGAGAUUCUCAAGCUUAAUGAUUCCAAGGGAAAUCUCUCCGGAUCUAAUAAAUGUCAAAUAGCUUUACAUGUUCUGGCGAUCAUCCUCAUAGCCAUUGGUUCCGCAGCUGGGCUGGCGACUACCAUCAUUGUCUUCAUGCGUCAAACUAAGAGGAAGAAUAAAAAGGACAAUAAUAAUGUCGUUGUAUUUAUUGUAUUGCUAAAACAGUACACUUAUGCAGAGUUAAAGAAAAUCACGAAAUCAUUUUCACACACA